rnacentral:rRNA from 1 species
UACGGGGGGAGCAAGCGUUGUUCGGAUUUACUGGGCGUAAAGGGCGCGUAGGCGGCAAUUCAAGUCACUUGUGAAAUCUCCGAGCUUAACUCGGAACGGUCAAGUGAUACUGCUUUGCUAGAGUGCAGAAGGGGCAACCGGAAUUCUUGGUGUAGCGGUGAAAUGCGUAGAUAUCAAGAGGGAACACCGGAGGUGAAGACGGGUUGCUGGGCUGACACUGACGCUGAGGCGCGAAAAGCUAGGGUAGCAAACGGG